GCUGAUGCGUUGUUGGGUAGGGGAGCGUUCUGUAAGCCUGCGAAGGUGACCUGUGAGGGUUGCUGGAGGUAUCAGAAGUGCGAAUGCUGACAUAAGUAACGAUAAAGCGGGUGAAAAGCCCGCUCGCCGGAAGACCAAGGGUUCCUGUCCAACGUUAAUCGGGGCAGGGUGAGUCGACCCCUAAGGCGAGGCCGAAAGGCGUAGUCGAUGGGAAACGGGUUAAUAUUCCCGUACUUGGUGUUACUGCGAAGGGGGGACGGAGAAGGCUAUGUUGGCCGGGCGACGGUUGUCCCGGUUUAAGCGUGUAGGUGUGUGUUCCAGGUAAAUCCGGUUCACUUUAACACUGAGGCGUGAUGACGAGGCACUACGGUGCUGAAGCAACAAAUGCCCUGCUUCCAGGAAAAGCCUCUAAGCAUCAGGUAACAUCAAAUCGUACCCCAAACCGACACAGGUGGUCAGGUAGAGAAUACCAAGGCGCUUGAGAGAACUCGGGUGAAGGAACUAGGCAAAAUGGUGCCGUAACUUCGGGAGAAGGCACGCUGACACGUAGGUGAAGUGAUUUACUCACGGAGCUGAAGUCAGUCGAAGAUACCAGCUGGCUGCAACUGUUUAUUAAAAACACAGCACUGUGCAAACACGAAAGUGGACGUAUACGGUGUGACGCCUGCCCGGUGCCGGAAGGUUAAUUGAUGGGGUCAGCGCAAGCGAAGCUCCUGAUCGAAGCCCCGGUAAACGGCGGCCGUAACUAUAACGGUCCUAAGGUAGCGAAAUUCCUUGUCGGGUAAGUUCCGACCUGCACGAAUGGCGUAAUGAUGGCCAGGCUGUCUCCACCCGAGACUCAGUGAAAUUGAACUCGCUGUGAAGAUGCAGUGUACCCGCGGCAAGACGGAAAGACCCCGUGAACCUUUACUAUAGCUUGACACUGAACAUUGAGCCUUGAUGUGUAGGAUAGGUGGGAGGCUUUGAAGUGUGGACGCCAGUCUGCAUGGAGCCGACCUUGAAAUACCACCCUUUAAUGUUUGAUGUUCUAACGUGGACCCGUAAUCCGGGUUGCGGACAGUGUCUGGUGGGUAGUUUGACUGGGGCGGUCUCCUCCUAAAGAGUAACGGAGGAGCACGAAGGUUGGCUAAUCCUGGUCGGACAUCAGGAGGUUAGUGCAAUGGCAUAAGCCAGCUUGACUGCGAGCGUGACGGCGCGAGCAGGUGCGAAAGCAGGUCAUAGUGAUCCGGUGGUUCUGAAUGGAAGGGCCAUCGCUCAACGGAUAAAAGGUACUCCGGGGAUAACAGGCUGAUACCGCCCAAGAGUUCAUAUCGACGGCGGUGUUUGGCACCUCGAUGUCGGCUCAUCACAUCCUGGGGCUGAAGUAGGUCCCAAGGGUAUGGCUGUUCGCCAUUUAAAGUGGUACGCGAGCUGGGUUUAGAACGUCGUGAGACAGUU
rnacentral:rRNA from 1 species